CAGACUGUAAUGGGAGGAGGAGGUAGGGAGGAUGACCCAUCAGCAAAGGAGUAAAGACAGUUUGCUCUUGCAAAGGCUUUGGCAGUAAAGAAGAUAUGAAAGGAAAGAUAUUAAGAGGAAAAGAAAGAAAACAUUUCUUCUGUUUCAAGUACAUUGUGAAGUGUCAUGUAAUGCUCAUAUCCGCUCCAUAAAGCAGGACUGAUAAUCCUCCUCUUGAAAAUGAGGAAGCAGAGACUCAGGUUCAGCAACUAAGACCAGAUGAACAACUGGUUUACGGGAAACUGGAUAUCAUUUUAAGGUCUAAUACUUUUCUACUAAACCAUGUUGCCUACCAGGAAGAGAAAGUGUUCAUGAAAGAAGAAGAAAAAGAAAGAGAAUGCCAAGAACAACUUUAUCAACUUCCUAAUUUUGUUUAAAGCUAGUAUACGUUGUCAAUUCAACUGAUCUAUUUCAGCAGAAGUUGAUCCUUAUUAUGAAAUGACUAUGAGAGAGAGAAAUGAGAGAGAGAGAAAUGAGAGGGAGAGAAAUGAUUAUGAGAGAGAGAGAGAGAGAGAAUAUGAGAAUCUUAAACAGGCUCCACACUGAGUGUAGAGGGACUCAAUCCCAUGAACCUGGGAUCAUGACCUGAAGGGAAAUCAAAAGUCACACUCAGCUGACUGAAUCAUCCAGGAGCCCCUAACAUAAAACACAUUAAAGCUAAUUUAAAAUUUAGACCAUACUGAACUUUCCUAAUUAAAAAAAAAAAAUUUCCUGGGAGGAAAAAAGUGUCUGAUUUGUUCAUUUGGACUCCAAGGAAGUCCUCUACUUCAAACCAUUAUGUCCACAGUGGAUCCCAUGGAUUGUUUUUUUCCUCUGGAUGAGAGAGAGAAAAAAAAAAAAGACAAGCUUAUGUUGGGGAAAGAACAAUCCUUUCCAAUGCCAAAGAAAAAUGGGCUCUUCUGGAAUUCUUGAGAGACUGAUUAUACAUUGAUCUCCACAGAGGAAACUCCCUAGGGGAUUUUCAAAGACCCUGUCUGAAAGCACAUCCAUAUGCUUUGGAUGCUCUGGGAAUGGAAAGGUCACGUUGGACCUGAGUGCCUCUCGGUCACGUGUGGGUGCUCCUGUUUGCCACUGACUUGCAUAUAUUUGUAUUUAAAGCCACAACCAGGCAGCAAAGAAAUGUCAUAUGAACACAUUCUGAAAAGGAGGCCAGAACUGGACUAUCCUGGAGCCCUGAUUUCAGACAUCCUGUAACCUACAGGGAGUGAGAAUGGAAGACUUUGUCUCCUUCAUCACAUUUAAGAGAACUUGUAAUUUAAAAGAUCUGCCAGUGGGUGUUUGUUUCAGAUCUUCUCCACUCACUGUCAUCUCCAAGAGGCUCGGCUCUGGGUGUCUACCCCCACGGCCCAGUACUGUACCUCACAGGUCAUGUGUGCAGAAUAAAUAUUUACUGAAUGA